UAGAUAAUGGAGAGAAUUCCAUUAUAGUUUUUGGUUGAAACAUUGAGGACAAUCUUUAGCUGUGAGACCAACACUUGGAAGGCAGCAGCUGUUGUGAAUCCACCAACCAAAGGAUCUGCCAGCAGCUGCUCCAUUCACUACUGAUGUUUUUAUCCAUGAUGAUGAUGAUCCUAUCCUUUGAUCAUGGAAGGCUUUAACAGCUGGGAGGGCUCAGUACCAAAAUCCAGUAACCCGGAGUGUCUAAAUAUAUAGAACACCAAAGAGAAACAAAUCAGCUUCUGUGUUCCUCACCUCAUCAUGCAUUUGAUACUGAUCUACUCUCCCAGCUCAUUCUGAGUGAUUUCCUUACUACGCUAGGAUGCAGAACAUGAUUCAAAUCAGCUGGGAUAAUGAUUGCAGCUCACGUAUCACCUGCUCAAAGGAGCUGACUCAACUGAUUAGUAGCUCAAUCAUCAGGUGAGUGGAAAAAGAAAGUCAAGUCAGUUGUUGAUUAAAAACUUGAUCAAGGGCUUCCCUGGUGGCGCAGUGGUUGAGAGUCCGCCUGCCGAUGCAGGGGACAUGGGUUCGUGCCCCGGUCCGCGAAGAUCCCACAUGCUGCGGAGCGGCUGGGCCCGUGAGCCAUGGCCACUGAGCCUGC